rnacentral:rRNA from 1 species
ACGUAGGUGGCAAGCGUUAUCCGGAUUUAUUGGGCGUAAAGCGAGCGCAGGCGGUUUUCUAGGUCUGAUGUGAAAGCCUUCGGCUUAACCGAAGAAGUGCAUCGGAAACUGGAUGACUUGAGUGCAGAAGAGGGCAGUGGAACUCCAUGUGUAGCGGUGGAAUGCGUAGAUAUAUGGAAGAACACCAGUGGCGAAGGCGGCUGCCUGGUCUGUAACUGACGCUGAGGCUCGAAAGCAUGGGUAGCGAACAGGAUUAGAUACCCUGGUAGUCCAUGCCGUAAACGAUGAGUGCUAGGUGUUGGAGGGUUUCCGCCCUUCAGUGCCGGAGCUAACGCAUUAAGCACUCCGCCUGGGGAGUACGGCCGCAAGGUUA